UGUCCUAAAGGCUGGAAAAAGUUUGAAGGAAACUGCUAUAUACGUUUUUCUGAAAGAGCAGCUUCUUGGUCUGCAUCGAAGAAAACAUGUCAAGCAGUCGGCGCAAAUUUACUUACAAUAACAUCCAAGAGAGAAAGUGACUGGAUUUAUAAAACUUUCAAGGCUGGCUGUUGGAUUGAUGCUACGGACACACUUAAAGAAGGAACGUGGAAAUGGUCUUCCAAUGGAAAUUUGUUAACAUACACUGCUUGGGACCGCGGCGAACCAAAUAAUGCGUUUGGUAACGAGGACUGUGCAUAUUUUGUAUAUUCCAAUGGUAGACUUCUUUGGAAUGAUAUU